rnacentral:pre_miRNA from 14 species
UGAUUUUGGGAGCUUGUUCUGCUAAUGUGUGCUCUGACUUUAUUGCACUACUGUACUAUACAGCUAGCAGUGCAAUAGUAUUGUCAAAGCAUCUGCAAGCAGAAGAUCCUCACAUAACAA